UGUUAAUAAUGAAGGGGUUAAGCUUCUAGG
rnacentral:piRNA from 1 species